rnacentral:rRNA from 1 species
CGAUGAUGCAUAGCCCGAGUUGAGAGACUGAUCGGCCACAUUGGGGACUGAGACACGGCCCAAACUCCUACGGGAGGCAGCAGUAGGGAAUCUUCCACAAUGGACGCAAGUCUGAUGGAGCAAACGCCGCGUGAGUGAAGAAGGUUCGUAGUCGUAAGACUCUGUUGUUGGUGAAGAAGGAGUAGAGGUAGUAACUGGCCCUUUAUUUGACGGUAAUCAACUAGAAAGUCACGGGCUAACUACGUGCCAGCAGCCGCGGUAAAU